AACGAACGCUGGCGGCGUGGAUAAGACAUGCAAGUCGAACGGGAUCAUUGAGGUAGCAAUAUCGCGAUGGUCUAGUGGCGAACGGGUGCGUAACACGUGGAUACAUUCCGGGAAGCGGGGGAUAGCCCAGGGAAACUUGGAUUAAUACCGCAUGUGGUUGAAAAACUAAAGGCAGGGACCGCAAGGCCUGCCACUUCCCGAUUGGUCCGCGGCCUAUCAGCUAGUUGGCGGGGUAACAGCCCACCAAGGCUACGACGGGUAGCUGGUCUUAGAGGACGACCAGCCACACUGGAACUGAGACACGGUCCAGACACCUACGGGUGGCAGCAGUCGAGAAUCUUUCACAAUGGGGGCAACCCUGAUGGAGCGACGCCGCGUGGAGGAUAAGGUCUUCGGAUUGUAAACUCCUGUCAUGUGUGGACAAGGCUGCCGUGUUAAUAGCAUGGCAGAUUGAUGGUAACACAAGAGGAAGAGACGGCUAACUCUGUGCCAGCAGCCGACGG
rnacentral:rRNA from 1 species